rnacentral:rRNA from 1 species
CAGUAGCCGCGGUAAUACGAAGGGGGCUAGCGCUGUUCGGAAUUACUGGGCGUAAAGCGCACGUAGGCGGAUAUUUAAGUCAGGGGUGAAAGCCCAGAGCUCAACUCUGGAACUGCCUUUGAUACUGGGUAUCUUGAGUAUGGAAGAGGUGAGUGGAAUUCCGAGUGUAGAGGUGAAAUUCGUAGAUAUUCGGAGGAACACCAGUGGCGAAGGCGGCUCACUGGUCCAUUACUGACGCUGAGGUGCGAAAGCGUGGGGAGCAAACAGGAUUAGAUACCCCAGUAGUCCCUGUCUCUUAUAC